rnacentral:rRNA from 1 species
UACGUAGGGUGCGAGCGUUAAUCGGAUUUACUGGGCGUAAAGCGUGCGCAGGCGGCCCGUUAAGACAGGUGUGAAAUCCCUGGGCUCAACCUAGGAAUUGCGCCUGUGACUGGCGGGCUCGAGUACGGUAGAGGGGGGUGGAAUUCCCGGUGUAGCAGUGAAAUGCGUAGAGAUCAGGAGGAACACCGAUGGCGAAGGCAGCCCCCUGGGCCUGUACUGACGCUCAUGCGCGAAAGCGUGGGGAGCAAACAGG